CAGUCGCCGCGGUAAUACGAAGGGUGCAAGCGUUACUCGGAAUUACUGGGCGUAAAGCGUGCGUAGGUGGUGGUUUAAGUCCGUUGUGAACGCCCUGGGCUCAACCUGGGAAUUGCAGUGGAUACUGGAUCACUAGAGUGUGGUAGAGGAUAGUGGAAUUUCCGGUGUAGCAGUGAAAUGCGUAGAGAUCGGAAGGAACAUCUGUGGCGAAGGCGACUAUCUGGGCCAACACUGACACUGAGGCACGAAAGCGUGGGGAGCAAACAGGAUUAGAUACCCCGGUAGUCCCUGUCUCUUAUAC
rnacentral:rRNA from 1 species